rnacentral:lncRNA from 1 species
GGAUCUUUAAGGUAGACUAUUAAAAAUGAAAACUUCCACAAGGAGACAAAUAAGUUAUAGUUAAAAUACUGGCAAAAAUCUCUAUGGUUUAUACAGUUAAAAUAGAGAGGAAAAUAUCAAGAAGAACAUUUGAAAGUAUAAAUAGAUCAGGGGCCAGAAGUGGACUUUGCUUGUUCUAAAUUAGUUGAGAACCAGCCUUUGUGGGUUUUUAAAGAAAAGUACUGGGGGCAAUGACACUGGCCCAUGUCCUCAGCCCCUCUCCAUGCAGCUCUGGUCCUGUGCUCUAGUCCAGCAAACUUCCUUUGAAGUAUUCUCGAAGUGAGAGACUGGUUCUAUGUAAGAUGAAAUUGACUCAGAAGUUUUUUCAACUGCCCAGAGAAAUUAAUACCUUCAGAAGGAGCUUGAGGACACUGUCAGAAUUAAAAAGAACUUGGUGACAAUUUGACAAUGAAAAGUCACUUUUGAAAUUUCAGAAGAGCCAGACUCUAUGAAGAUUUAAAGUGAUCCAUUGGAGGUUGUUUAAAAUGCAAAAUUCACUUUAAUUUUGAAAGUGAAUUGAAGUUCUUCAACGGUGUUCCUUGUAAAAGUCACUGGUUUGCAUCCUACUGAACCCCAAGAUACAACAAGGCCAAUUUAUUUCUUCUCUGCCUUCCUUCCUGUCUCUGUUAUAUCUAAACCCUUAGCACAGUAUCUAGUACAUAGUUAACUGGUAUGAAAUAUACAUUAAAUAAGUACUGUAACAAUGCUCAGUUUAAUUGCCAAACACAGAUUGGAGAUUGGAAAAAGUAGUAUAUAUUACAUAGUCAUGUACUUCAGAGAUAUAAAAAUUCUAAAUAGCUGUGAUUACUCAUGAGUU